AAUAGAUACCCCGGUAGUCCAUGCCGUAAACGUUGGGCGCUAGAUGUGGGGACCAUUCCACGGUUUCCGUGUCGCAGCUAACGCAUUAAGCGCCCCGCCUGGGGAGUACGGCCGCAAGGCUAAAACUCAAAGGAAUUGACGGGGGCCCGCACAAGCGGCGGAGCAUGCGGAUUAAUUCGAUGCAACGCGAAGAACCUUACCAAGGCUUGACAUAUACGAGAACGCUCUAGAAAUAGAGAACUCUUUGGACACUCGUAUACAGGUGGUGCAUGGUUGUCGUCAGCUCGUGUCGUGAGAUGUUGGGUUAAGUCCCGCAACGAGCGCAACCCUCGUUCUAUGUUGCCAGCGGUUCGGCCGGGAACUCAUAGGAGACUGCCGGGGUUCAACUCGGAGGAAGGUGGGGAUGACGUCAAAUCAUCAUGCCCCUUAUGUCUUGGGUCUUCACGCAUGCUACAAUGGCCGGUACAAAGGGCUGCAAUACCGUAAGGUGGAGCGAAUACCCAAAAGCCGGUCUCAGUUCGGAUUGAGGU
rnacentral:rRNA from 1 species